rnacentral:rRNA from 1 species
AACGAACGCUGGCGGCAGGCCUAACACAUGCAAGUCGAACGCCCUAGCAAUAGGGAGUGGCGCACGGGUGAGUAACGCGUGGGAACGUGCCUUUCAGUCUGGAAUAACUGCGGGAAACUGCAGCUAAUACCGGAUAUUCUCUACGGAGGAAAGAUUUAUCGCUGAAAGAUCGGCCCGCGUUAGAUUAGGUAGCUGGUGGGGUAAUGGCCUACCAAGCCUACGAUCUAUAGCUGGUCUGAGAGGAUGAUCAGCCACACUGGAACUGAGACACGGUCCAGACUCCUACGGGAGGCAGCAGUGGGGAAUAUUAGACAAUGGGCGCAAGCCUGAUCCAGCCAUGCCGCGUGAGUGACGAAGGCCUUAGGGUUGUAAAGCUCUUUUGUCAGGGAAGAUAAUGACGGUACCUGAAGAAUAAGACACGGCUAACUUCGUGCCAGCAGCCGCGGUAA